CCUACGGGUGGCAGCAGUGAGGAAUAUUGGUCAAUGGCCGGAAGGCUGAACCAGCCAUGCCGCGUGAAGGUCAGUGCCCUAUGGGCGUUAAACUUCUUUUGUGCGGGAGCAAUAAUGGUCACGUGUGGCCAGACGAGAGUACCGUACGAAUAAGCAUCGGCUAACCCCGUGCCAGCAGCCGCGGGUAUACGGGGGAUGCAGACGUUUACCGGGUUUAUUGGGUUUAAAGGGUGCGUAAGCUGGGAGGUAAGUCAGCGGUGAAAUGCCCCCGCUCAACGGGGUGAAGUGCCAUUGAUACUGCCAUGCUGGAAUGCGGAUGCGGUAGGAGGAAUGUGUGGUGUAGCGGUGAAAUGCAUAGAUAUCACACAGAACACCGAUUGCGAAGGCAUCUCACGAAUCCGCGAUUGACGCUGAUGCACGAAAGCGUGGGUAUCAAACAGGAUUAGAUACCCGUGUAGUC
rnacentral:rRNA from 1 species